UACGUAGGGGGCUAGCGUUGUCCGGAUUUAUUGGGCGUAAAGAGCGUGUGGGCGGCCAGGUAGGUCUGCUGUGAAAACUCGAGGCUCAACCUCGAGACGUCGGCGGAAACCAUCUGGCUAGAGUCCGGAAGAGGAGAGUGGAAUUCCUGGUGUAGCGGUGAAAUGCGCAGAUAUCAGGAAGAACACCCGUGGCGAAGGCGGCUCUCUGGGACGGUACUGACGCUGAGACGCGAAAGCGUGGGAAGCGAACAGG
rnacentral:rRNA from 1 species